GACAGAGGAUGCAAGCGUUAUCCGGAAUGAUUGGGCGUAAAGCGUCUGUAGGUGGCUUUUCAAGUCCGCCGUCAAAUCCCAGGGCUCAACCCUGGACAGGCGGUGGAAACUACCAAGCUGGAGUACGGUAGGGGAGACUGGAAUUCCUGGUGUAGCGGUGAAAUGCGCAGAUAUCAGGAGGAACACCGGUGGCGAAGGCGGGUCUCUGGGCCGAAAUUGACGCUGAGGAGCGAAAGCGUGGGGAGCAAACAGG
rnacentral:rRNA from 1 species